rnacentral:rRNA from 1 species
GUCGAGGGGCAGCAUGAACUUAGCUUGCUAAGUUUGAUGGCGACCGGCUCACGGGUGAGUAACACGUAUCCAACCUGCCGAUGACUCGGGGAUAGCCUUUCGAAAGAAAGAUUAAUACCCGAUGGCAUAGUUCUUCCGCAUGGUAGGACUAUUAAAGAAUUUCGGUCAUCGAUGGGGAUGCGUUCCAUUAGCUUGUUGGCGGGGUAACGGCCCACCAAGGCAUCGAUGGAUAGGGGUUCUGAGAGGAAGGUCCCCCACAUUGGAACUGAGACACGGUCCAAACUCCUACGGGAGGCAGCAGUGAGGAAUAUUGGUCAAUGGGCGCUAGCCUGAACCAGCCAAGUAGCGUGAAGGAUGACUGCCCUAUGGGUUGUAAACUUCUUUUAUAUGGGAAUAAAGUGCAGUAUGUAUACUGCUUUGCAUGUACCUUAUGAAUAAGGAUCGGCUAACUCCGUGCCAGCAGCCGCGGUAAUACGGAGGAUCCGAGCGUUAUCCGGAUUUAUUGGGUUUAAAGGGAGCGUAGGCGGGUUGUUAAGUCAGUUGUGAAAGUUUGCGGCUCAACCGUAAAAUUGCAGUUGAUACUGGCAUCCUUGAGUACAG